rnacentral:lncRNA from 1 species
UGUUGUACCAGAGCCCGCUGCUAUCGCGGUUCCUGAUCCAGUUGCACCUGGGCCGGUUGUUACCGUUGUUCUUGACUCCACUACACUGAAAGAGCAACCUGUCGGAACAAUCCCGGGUACUACUGAAUUUAAUACACCAUUUUGGCAAAAAUGCUUGCUGGAAGAUCCUUAUGAGUUUGAAUCAGAAAAUCCCCGUGAAAUUAGAAAAUACUGCUGGAGCGUCAAGGAUCGAAAAAAACCUUAGUCGAAAUUGAUUAUUCCUAUUAACUUUUAAUGCUUCCAAAAUAAAUGUAAUAAUUUUAGGUAUGCAUUGUUGGCUAUGCUAUGUAUGCAGGGAGGGAGGUAGAUAUAUCAAAGUGUGGGCAAGUGCCACCACUAAUAAUUUAAUUAUCACUAUAUCUAUAAUAUACUACUAAAUAGGUUUGUUUAAAUAAUAUAGUAUCUUUUUAAAAUUAAAUCAAGAUAUAUUCAGUAAUUUUCACUUCAAGGCAGUAUAUGAAUAGUAUAUUAUUUUAUAAUAUAAUAAUUUAUUAAUGAAUAAUUAUUUUAUAAAACUUUUUAUAAUUUUUUUUAAUAUAAUAUUAUCAUAUUUUUUAAUAUGUAUAAAAAGUUUUAAAAACUUAUACUAAAAGCAAAUGAAAUAUAUUAAGAAAAAUAGUUAGGAUUGAUUUAUAAUAAGAAAAAGACUUCGAUGAUAUAUAUAAUUAGAUUUAUUAAUAUGUCUUUUUCAAAGUUUUUUCCAUUUCCAAUUGAGCAUUCUUCUCUGCCUAUGCAGCUAAUCAGUGGCUUCUUCGCCUUGAGUUUAAUUUUGAAUUUUGGAAAGAUUGAAUGUUGACUUUUUAACCUGGUUGUGCACGUCUUCAAAAACAUCAUUGUCCUAGAGAUGAACCAGGUUAUCUUUUCAAUCUUGACAUUCCGCUGUCGUUACUUAUGAGAAAACACAUUUGCUCCUCUUCCUUAAGAGUAUUAGUAAAGUGAUUUCAGUGUUUUUCUUAAAACUUUUGCUUUCUCUCAUUUCUCUGGCUUCAUCAAUUCCAUAUAUCUGGUAUCUCUUCUAACUUAAAUUUAUCUUUAGCAUUUCUAGUAUUUUAUAUUGUGAAGUUGAAACUUUAUCCUCUAAUUCUCUUUUUUCCUCGUAAUAACAAUCACCUAUAACCAAAAAUAGUAUCUUGUCUGACGAUUUUGACUCAGAAAGGGUAUCUGAUGAAGAAACUUCUUAAUCUGACUCAUUAGAUUGAUAACUGCGAGCCCAUCGAUGUUUAUGUGAAGGCAUAUCCAACUCAUUAGGAACAUGUAAUAAUUAAUUAUAGGUACCAAAUUUGAAGGGUUUGAUAGAGAGUCGUUAUCAUUCAUACUUACUAAAAAAAUUGCAGAUGCAUAACAACCAUUGACCGGUAAGGAUUUCCAAAAGUUUAGUAUUUGUGGGGUGUUAGAGCAGGUCAUAAGAGGAGAAGCUUUGUUUUAAGGGUGUUUUUUGUGAAUAUGGAAUUGAUCUUUUCCUCAGUCUGAGAAUUGGGUAUUUAUAAAGGCUCUCUUGAUCUAGAUUGUAAAAUAAUGGGCGAUUAUGCCAUAACUCCAUGAUUAAGAAUUUGGUAAAGGGAAGUCUUAUUUUUCUUAGAAUCAUAGAGGAAAUGGUUUUUGUUUUGACUGGCUCUCUUGAGUUACCCAUUGUGAUCCACACCAUCACCACACACUUAUUAGGAGAGUGGACAGUGGGAGGCUUAUCUUGACAGCCUCUCGCCCCUUUCAGUUGACCAUAUAACCCAUUUGAAGGCCUCUGGCUUUGCAGGGUAGCCCUCCUUGCACCUAGCCUUCCUUAUUUUUCAUGACUGUCCUUCUCAAGAGUCAAUUAAAUUAUACCAGUGCAUAGUCCUUCAAGCACGAAGACUUGAAAAGGAUGAAGUGUAAUAAUCUCGAAAAGCGACACUUUAAUUGAGGCCCUCAUAUGAGACUUUAAGUUGAGUCCCACAAGCGUGACUUUAAGUUGAGUCCUGUAGCGGUAAAUUCAGGAUCAUCAAGCUAUGGAUAAGCAAGACAUCAAAUAACGAGAGUCACCACCGCACUUUUAUGUUUCCAAGGAAAGGGAAAAGUACGAACAAAACCCAAAAUAAGAAGUUUUCAAAUCAAAACUAAUAAAAUGCCAGAGAUUACAGGUAAGGGGUUGGUUUACACAGAGGGAAGGUGUUAGCACCAAAAGUGUCCUAGGUACUCCUAGGAGACCUUUCUUGUGUGCAUAUGUAUUUUGUAAAAAAUGAUGUUUACAAACAAAUAGAAUGUGGGGAUGAGAAAAGAAUUCAUUAAUUAUAUUUUGUGUUUCACAAGACCUUCGAACUUGUGCUUACGUACCAACAUAAAAAUGGGGGAUCAAAACCUCGUAGUUUGUGAUACAAUUUCAAAGUGGAUGCUUUGCAUUUUAACAAAAUUAAGUUUGAAAGGCACAAAGGCCUAAAAUGGUUCGAAUGAGUUAGUUCUUUUUGACUUUUGAAAGUUUUAAGUCAAGUAUAAUUAAAUUUAUUUACAAAUUUGAUUGAGAAAAGAAGUUUGAAAAUGCAAUGGCUAAGGCCAAAGUUUCUAGUUUGCAAAAUGGUCUAAGUUUAGAAACAAACAAGUACAAACAAAGAAUUUUUAAAAGGACAGAGAGAUUUUGAAAUUAGAGAGAUGGGGUGGAGAUGAAGAGACUAAUCCUAAGCACAAAAUUAAAAGUUAAGAGUUGAAAAGAUCUGACCAAUGGCUGCAAUCCAAUAGACAAGAAUGUUAUAUAGAAAAAUCAAAUUCCCUUGGAAUAAGCAACAAANNNNNNNNNNNNNNNNNNNNNNNNNGAAACCUAUGUAAGUAAAUUAACGUUAAUUAUAAUUUUCAUUGCUUUGUUAGCUUGAUUGGUCUUUUGUUAAUUUUAUUAGUUUAAUUAUUUUUUAUCACUGUCAUUUAUUUCUUGAUUGUUCCAUAAAUUGUGUUAUGGUUUUGAUUUGAUGAGGUUUUACAAAAUUUUAUCUUUGUGGAUUUAACUUCGAACGAUUAAUUUGAGCUUGUUAACUUCAAUCGACUUAUUUGAGUUUGAUUACUUCAUUAACAUUAUAAAAAUUUAGGCGAGCUUGCGAGAUCCAGAUAGAGUUUCCUAUUUUCUUGUUGUUGUUUGUUUUUUAAUUAUUUAUCGAACUAUGUUAUGGUUUUUGGUUUGAUCAGGGUUUUAGUAAGGUUGGUCAAGACCAAUGGGAAUCUCAAAUGAAGACUUUGUAAGAGAUCAACAGAUCUCAUGAAGAAUAUCCACAGACGCAGACCAGUUUUUAGCCAUUCUCAUCUAAUGCUCAUAGGCAACACACUGCGACUUCUGGUGUUACUGCUGGUGUUGGUGUUGCUGCUCCAUUAACAGAAUCAGAACGGCGGAAUUUCAAAGCCCUGAUAGAAAACCUAGACAUGAAAGAAAGAGCUACUUAUGGAACGUCAGAGGCAACAAGAGGAGGGGAAUCAAAAUGAGAUGCAGUUACGUUCCUCGAAGGAUCGCUUGCAGCAGUUGGAACUAAAUCAACAAACUUUGCACUCUUCCUAGGUCAAGUGCUUCAGAAAUCUGCGGAAGAGGCAAGUCUCCUGCAUCUACAGUAAAUAAAGGGACAAAACGAAGUUAUCUGGGAAUUUUUCCUAUAAAAUUUAGCAAGCAUUAAACUUCUGAAGGAAACUUCGGAAGAGUUAUCUAGAGCGAAUGCUGAGAGUGCGUCCGUUCUCAGGAUAAACAUGGGACGAUUGGAUCUCUCGAGUCAUCAUUGGCAUUUUGGAGAGUCUUGCAAAAGAAGUUAUAGACACAUCUUUUGAAACUGGUGCAAAGUUGAACUUUGAUGAUUUUAUGAAUCCUCCACAUGAUCCCGGAAUGUCUCGUGCGCAACUAGAUUUUGAAGUUCCGCCGAGUCAUCAGGAAACAAAGUUAACUCUCUGCCAGAUUCAGCCGUUGUUCCUGAUCCUAAUCCAGUUGAAACUCGACUUGGAUGAUCCUGUUGUACCAGAGCCCGCUGCUAUCGCGGUUCCUGAUCCAGUUGCACCUGGGCGGUUGUUACCGUUGUUCUUGACUCCACACACUGAAAGAGCAACCUGUCGGAACAAUCCCGGGUACUACUGAAUUUAAUACACCAUUUUGGCAAAAAUGCUUGCUGGAAGAUCCUUAUGAGUUUGAAUCAGAAAAUCCCCGUGAAAUUAGAAAAUACUGCUGGAGCGUCAAGGAUCGAAAAAAACCUUAGUCGAAAUUGAUUAUUCCUAUUAACUUUUAAUGCUUCC